UGAGAAUCUGACGCCUCUGCUGAUCUAACAGGAGGUGGAGCUCAGGCAGUAGUUCUCUCGUCUGCUGCUCAUCUCCUGCUGUGCGGCCCGGUACCUAACGGGUCAUGGACUGGUGCUGGUCCACGGCCUGAGGAUGGGGGACCCCGAUCUAGCAGAUUGAGGCCAGAUUGAGGCAAAAGCAGAUGGAUUUAUGGAAAACGACUCAUGCCGGCUGCCUGUAGGAGAGGCAGUGCCUGGGUGGGUCCUUAGCUGCCCCAGACCCUGUGAGCAGGUCUCACCUAGGGAUGCCCGUGGCACUUUGGGAGCUCAGGGGAGAGGAGGGAAUGAGAGGGUGGACACAGGAGGAGAUGACCUUCAUACUGAGCUUUGCGAGCAUUCAUCUGGCCUCACAACGCCGCAGGGAAGUCUCUCCCACUCCACUUGAAAACACCAGUGUAAUCUGGAGAUACCACAAAGGGUAAUUAACAUGCAAGUUUAUCCUAAUUCCCACAGUUAUCCUGAUCCUUAAUGAAUCAAAUGAGGAACUGGUUUGUGACUCAGUAAACUGAAGUCACAGAGUUCUUAUGAUCUGAGAAAAAUGGGUCACUGUGUUUGGUGCUUCACAGGACACGGGGCCUGCAGGCGAGGAGCCAGGCCUCAAGGGUUCAGCGAGUUGUCCAAGCCAGCGUGACUAAGGGGUUCAGCUGGGAUCUCUCAGAUUAACUUCCAAGAAGGAAAGUCGCUCAUUGCUCAUGCACUUGUUCAUAACUCUCCCUGGCUGGUAAACUCAGGUGGCAUCGCGGCCUUGGCGUCUGGCCCUUGGUGACCCCCAUCAGGAUAGCGCCUUGGCUGUGUCUCCUCCCUGGCACCCUUUACCAGAGCAGCUGGGCCUUGGGUUGCAGGGAUGGAAGCCUCUAUCUCGGGCGAUACCUGAACGUGUAGAGUAUGUGAUGCUUGCUGAGCUGGAGGCUCACGGAUUGGUGUCCCUCUGCUGGUUCCAGUGAGUACGUGCCUCUGAAAUUCGAAGGGACUGUGGAGUCUGCUUCCAGGCUUUGAGAGCCCAAGUCUGUUGCAAAUUGAAUGUAUUCACAAAAAGGAACAUUGAAGUCCUAGCCUCUGGUAGCUGCAACUUCAUUUGGAAAUACGAAAUAGGGUCUUUGUAGAUUUUUUUAAGAUGUAAGUGAGGCUCUGGGAGCAGCUUAGUCUUCCCUUGGGGCUGCAGAGGGGCAGUGCACCCCUGGGCUCGUGUUCCCCUGCUGGGAAUCCUGAGGAAGGGGGGAAAGCAUUCUCUUUUUCAGAAGCCCCAGAAAAUGUCUUCUCAAGACUCAGUGACUCUGUUUGAUUUCUCCCCCAUCCAUUAACUUGCUGCUCUUCUGGUGGGCAUGGAUGUGCGGUUGGAUUUCAGCCUAUCAGGGCCUGGCCUGGAGCUGGGGAUGGGGUCAGUCCCAUUCAAGUCACAGAUCUGGGAAUGGUGGUUCUCCUGGAGCAACAUCUGGGUGCUAUCAACACCAGGAGGGGGCAUCCAUGGUGGCAACAAAACCCAGAACUGUCCACUGAAUGGGCCAAAGGAGGGAAUUAAGAUCAGCCUUGGUGCCACUACCCGUGGCCACCGUGGCAUGGGGGCCUGUGCUUCCAGACCUGGGUGGUGCGUGGAAUGGUGAUGGUGACUAUGCGGAUGCUCCAAGGGGAUGAUGGCGUUCCCUGAGUGGUCACUGCGCCCCAAGGUCGGUGCUCAGCACUGCAUAAUACACGUUGAGCCAUUGAAUCCUCAGCACCCCAGACAGAGUUCAGUUAUUGGACAGAGAUUUAUGGAGCCCCUGUUCUGUGCUGGUCAUUGGCAUGGGUAGGAGAUGGAGACGACUUCCCAUCAUGGGCUGUGUUCUUGCAGGCUUUCCCCAUGUUACAGGUGUGAACAUUGAGGCCCAGAGAAAUGAGGCCGCACAGCUGGAAUGUUGCAGAUCUGAGAUCCAACCCCAGGGCCUUUUACUCCAAAACGUGUGUGCUUAAUGUGUGUGUCUAUACAUGCUGGCGAGUUUUCUUUUUAAACAGCUGAUCGCCCUCAGAUGUCCACCGCUGGCCUGUUUGGCUGCCCUUCUCCAGGCCAGCAGCCAAGACACAGUGCUGCCCACAGGGGCGACCGACUGGGAGCCUUGAAACAGGUGGAGCUGGCGAAGCAGGGCCCUGAGCUGUGUGCAUGGGGCCUGGCUGCAAAUGGCCCAAUGAAGGCUCCAUGCAUUUCCAUUUUUGAAGCUUGAGCCCUUUCCUCUCCAUGAGGCUGACCCGUCUGGCUUGGUCACACACUAGCUGUGCGGUCCUAGCUUAGUUACUUUACCUCUCUGGGCCUCAGUUUACUCAUUUGCAACGGGUCGGCAAACUACUACCCUCGCCCGAAUCCAGUCUGUUGCCUAUUUUUGUAAAUAAAGCUUUAUUGGCACACAACCAUGCUCACUCAUUCACAGAGCGGCUGCAGCUGCUUUUGCACAGGGCAAGAGACCCUGUGGCUCGCAAAGCCUGAAGCCCCUCUCUGUGGCCCUUUCCGGAAAACCUGCCAAUCCCUGACCUAGCAGAUGGGAUGAUUGUGUGCAGGAGAGUGUAGGCUCUGAGAGGGCAGGGCUGUGUCUGUGGCUCUCACCAGAGUGUCCCCUCCCUGUCACCAACCCAUGGGGUCGUUGCAAGACUUGGAGAGAAACUGUGUUCAGUAUCGAGCACAAGGCACACAGUACGUGUUCAGUAACCUCCAGCUUUGGUUCCUCCCGUGAUUAAACAAAGGCAAGGAGGACUACCCCAACAGGCUCAGAGGGCCCGGGGUCUGGAAUAGGAGCUGAUCCUCGGGUUAGACCACUCGGCUCUUAAAGUGGCUGCCGGUUGAGAGGCUUGUCUCAGCUGCCUAGGGGAAAAUUAAAAGGAUUAAUGGACACCGCCGUCUUUGAAAGGCUCAAGGCCCACUGAAGCCCCUUCAGCAGAGGGCUCUGCAUUCUCUCUUCCCCAGUCCUCCUUGUGUGCCCCCGUGAGUGGCGGUGACAAUGCUCCCGGAUGUGGGCCCCAAGGCCAGCGGCCCCGGAGCUGCCCGCCCACCCGUCCGCCGGCUAUUGUCUGCUCCGGCCUGGCGGUGUGGCGCUGGGCUUGUGGGGCCCCAGCGGGCAGGGGACUGUGGGAACGGAUUAGAGGUCCUGGGCUUGCUUUCCUCGUCUUGCAUAAACUCUUGAUCAAAGACAUUCCUGGGAUGACAGAGCCCUGUGAGCUGCGAGGCUGGCCCAGCGUGCGGGACGCACACCCCACACUGCAGCCCCUGCACAGGCCUGCCCUUGCUGGCCCUCGCUGGCCCUGGCUGCAGUGCUGACUCUGGGGACUAGCCUUAUGGUGGGACUGGUGAUGGAGCGGGUGCCAGGAGGCAACACGGCCUUCCCCACCAGAUUCAGAGGCCAGGCCCUUGAUGCUGGGCGGAACGAGGCUGUGACUCUGCUUCCUGGGGUGCUUCAAGGAGGGUCACGCUGCAUGCAGGGUGGCUGGAGGGAGUGCCAGCUGCAUGCCACUGCCACUGGGCCUGGCUUCUCUGGACUCCCACAGGCACUGCCUCAUCCUCUGCAACAGCCCUGCCCACUGUUAUCCCACAAGCACGGUUGGAAGUCUGCAUGCCCGCUCUGCCCAGCCUCCUUCCUCUGUCUCCUCAGGGACUUGCACUCCUCAUGACAACUCUAGGUGUUGUCUGGGCCCCUGGAGAACCCCCAGCCCUUCCAGCCAUGGAGUCAGCUCCUGGCACGCGGAUCAGGCUGGACCUAUGGAUCUGCAACUCAGCCUGGCAGCUUGGGGCUGCCCUGUGGGAGCCGACACGACCUCCCUUCCAUUUGGCCCCCUUCCUAGGACCCACUGUUUGCCAGGUGGGGAGAAGGGAGGCAGAGAGGAAUCAGGGAGAUUUCCAUCCUGGAGGGACUCGGCCGGAGCAGGAAGGUGCCCAGGUAUGACAAUCCCGGACUCCCAGAGCCACCUGCCUGGUGUGGGAUGGGGAAGCCUCCGGAGAGCCCAUCCUCACAGUGAGUGCAGAGAUGAAGGUUCCUGUGGACCAAGGUGGCGGGCCAAGCACAGAACAGGAAGCUUGAUGCAGUCUGGUGUGUCAGGAGCUCCUGGGCAAAGACAUCGAGCUUAUUGGGGCUCAAGGCUGGGUAGAGAUGGGGCUGAGUCCCAAGGACCUUGGACGGAGCUGAAGGGAGAUAGGAAGGCCGUGGGUUGGGGGCAGAAGAUGAAGAAUGGAUGAGGACUGUCUGCCUGCAGGGACAUGGGCCAGGAGGCAGGGCCCCUCGUGAGCAGGUAGGGGUGCUGGGGCACCUGAGAACAGGCUUCUGAGAAGGGGCUGCAGGGAGAGCUGACUGCGGAAGUCGUUGUCUCUGAACUUCCUCGAAGGUCAGUUUUUUACCGUCACCCUCUGGGCAGCGCAGAUACUCCAACAAUGGAUGAGGUCUUCACUGCAUCCCAGGAGGGGUCGCAGGCCCCAAAGUGAUGUCAGUGGAGUUUGAGAGUUGGGAACAAGGGCCCAGAGUAGCCAGACCACACCUUUGAUAUGGUUUGGCUGUGUCCCCACCCAAAUCUCAUCUCGAAUUGUAGCUCCCAUAAUUCCCACGUGUCGGAGGGACCCGGGGGGGAGAUAA